UUUUAUCUCACGACUGAACAAAUUUUUUUUUUUAGGGGAAAAAGUUCCAAACCAUCCAUUUUGAAGAGAUUUAGGGUUCGGGGGUUGGUUAUAUUUAGGGAAGGUGUUAGCACCCUAAAUAUUCGUAGUACUCUACGAGAACCUCUUGAUUUUAUUUAACUUUUUGUGCUUAAACUUGCUUGCUUUUGAAGAGAUGAAAAUGGAAUUGAAAGAUGAGUUGAAAAGAAAAAGAAAAUUGAUUUUAGUUAAAGAGAAAAAAA
rnacentral:lncRNA from 1 species